rnacentral:rRNA from 1 species
GUAACGGCCCACCAAGUCUGCGAUCGGUAGCCGGACUGAGAAGUUGAACGGCCACAUUGGGACUGAGAUACGGCCCAGACUCCUACGGGAGGCAGCAGUGGGGGAUAUUAGGCAAUGGGGGAAACCCUGACCUAGCAACGCCGCGUGAAGGAAGAAGGUCUUCGGAUUGUAAACUUCUUUGACGAGGGAAGAUAAUGACGGUACCUCGAAAACAAGCCACGGCUAACUACGUGCCAGCAGCCGCGGUAAUACGUAGGUGGCAAGCGUUGUCCGGAUUUAUUGGGUGUAAAGGGCGUGUAGGCGGAGAAGCAAGUCAGAUGUGAAAUGCGGGGGGCUCAACCCCCGGACUGCAUUUGAAACUGCUAUUCUUGAGUGAUGGAGAGGUAAGCGGAAUUCCCGGUGUAGCGGUAAAAUGCGUAGAUAUCGGGAGGAACACCAGUGGCGAAGGCGGCUUACUGGACAUUAACUGACGCUGAGGCGCGAAAGUGUGGGGAGCAAACAGGAUUAGAUACCCUGGUAGUCCACACUGUAAACGAUGGAUACUAGGUGUGGGGGGACUGACCCCUUCCGUGCCGGAGUUAACACAAUAAGUAUCCCACCUGGGGAGUACGGUCGCAAGAUUAAAACUCAAAGGAAUUGACGGGGACCCGCACAAGCAGUGAGUAUGUGGUUUAAUUCGAUGCAACGCGAAGAACCUUACCAAGGCUUGACAUCCUACUGACGAAGUAGAGAUACAUUAGGUACCCUUUUAGGGAAAGUAGAGACAGGUGGUGCAUGCUUGUCGUCAGCUCGUGUCGUGAGAUUUUGGGGUAAG